rnacentral:rRNA from 1 species
UACGUAGGGUGCAGGCGUUAAUCGGAAUUACUGGGCGUAAAGCGUGCGCAGGCGGUCCGCAAAGUCUGAUGUGAAAGCCCCGGGCUCAACCUGGGAACUGCAUUGGAAACUAACGGGCUCGAGUGUGGCAGAGGGGGGUGGAAUUCCACGUGUAGCAGUGAAAUGCGUAGAGAUGUGGAGGAACACUGAUGGCGAAGGCAGCCCCCUGGGCUAACACUGACGCUCAGGCACGAAAGCGUGGGGAGCAAACAGG